UACGUAGGGAGCAAGCGUUGUCCGAAAUCAUUGGGCGUAAAGCGCGCGUAGGUGGCCUCAUAAGUCCGCUGUGAAAGUCAAAGGCUCAACCUUUGAAAGCCGGUGGAUACUGUGAGGCUAGAGUACGGAAGAGGCGAGUGGAAUUCCUGGUGUAGCGGUGGAAUGCGCAGAUAUCAGGAGGAACACCAAUAGCGAAGGCAGCUCGCUGGGACGUUACUGACACUGAGGCGCGAAAGCGUGGGGAGCGAACAGG
rnacentral:rRNA from 1 species